GACGAACGCUGGCGGCGUGCUUAACACAUGCAAGUCGAACGGAAAGGCCCUGCUUUUGUGGGGUGCUCGAGUGGCGAACGGGUGAGUAACACGUGAGUAACCUGCCCUUGACUUUGGGAUAACUUCAGGAAACUGGGGCUAAUACCGGAUAGGAGCUCCUGCUGCAUGGUGGGGGUUGGAAAGUUUCGGCGGUUGGGGAUGGACUCGCGGCUUAUCAGCUUGUUGGUGGGGUAGUGGCUUACCAAGGCUUUGACGGGUAGCCGGCCUGAGAGGGUGACCGGCCACAUUGGGACGGAGGUACGGCCCAGACUUCUACGGGAGGGAGCAGUGGGGAAUAUUGCACAAUGGGCGGAAGCCUGAUGCAGCAACGCCGCGUGCGGGAUGACGGCCUUCGGGUUGUAAACCGCUUUCGCCUGUGACGAAGCGUGAGUGACGGUAAUGGGUAAAGAAGCACCGGCUAACUACGUG
rnacentral:rRNA from 1 species